rnacentral:rRNA from 1 species
GAUGAACGCUGGCGGCGUGCCUAAUACAUGCAAGUCGAGCGAACAGACGAGGAGCUUGCUCCUCUGACGUUAGCGGCGGACGGGUGAGUAACACGUGGAUAACCUACCUAUAAGACUGGGAUAACUUCGGGAAACCGGAGCUAAUACCGGAUAAUAUAUUGAACCGCAUGGUUCAAUAGUGAAAGACGGUUUUGCUGUCACUUAUAGAUGGAUCCGCGCCGCAUUAGCUAGUUGGUAAGGUAACGGCUUACCAAGGCAACGAUGCGUAGCCGACCUGAGAGGAUGAUCGGCCACACUGGAACUGAGACACGGUCCAGACUCCUACGGGAGGCAGCAGUAGGGAAUCUUCCGCAAUGGGCGAAAGCUUGACGGAGCAACGCCGCGUGAGUGAUGAAGGUCUUCGGAUCGUAAAACUCUGUUAUUAGGGAAGAAAAAAUGUGUAAGUAACUAUGCACGUCUUGACGGUACCUAAUCAGAAAGCCACGGCUAACUACGUG